rnacentral:rRNA from 1 species
CCUGGUGGCUAUAGCGCAGGUGCAACACCCGAUCCCAUCUCGAACUCGGACGUGAAACCCUGCCGCGCCGAUGGUACUACCGCUUAAGCGUUGGAAGAGUAGGUCGUCGCCAGGC